rnacentral:lncRNA from 1 species
AAUGCUUAUUUUGCUUUGGUUAUCGGAAUCAUACACCUUUCACCAUAUCUAUACCUCUAUUUUGUUAUAAAUGCAUAAUUUGUUUUUGUUUUAAUAAGUAAAUCGGUUUUCGAAUUAUAUAUCUUUUAACGAUAUAUUUCAUGGAUGUUAUAUAAAUGCUUAUUUUUCUUUGGUUAUCGGAACCAUACACCUUUCACUAUACCUAAACCUCUAUUUUAUUAUGCUUAUUUUGUUUUUGUUUCAAUAAGUAAAUAGGUUUUCAAAUUAGAUAUCUUUUAACGAUACUUAAAGUUUAUAUUUUACGAGUGUUAUAUAAAUACUUAUUUUGCUUUGGUUAUAGGAAUCAUACACCUUCCGCUAU